rnacentral:rRNA from 1 species
GAUGAACGCUGGCGGCGUGCCUAAUACAUGCAAGUCGAGCGAACGGACGAGAAGCUUGCUUCUCUGAUGUUAGCGGCGGACGGGUGAGUAACACGUGGAUAACCUACCUAUAAGACUGGGAUAACUUCGGGAAACCGGAGCUAAUACCGGAUAAUAUUUUGAACCGCAUGGUUCAAAAGUGAAAGACGGUCUUGCUGUCACUUAUAGAUGGAUCCGCGCUGCAUCAGCUAGUUGGUAAGGUAACGGCUUACCAAGGCAACGAUGCGUAGCCGACCUGAGAGGGUGAUCGGCCACACUGGAACUGAGACACGGUCCAGACUCCUACGGGAGGCAGCAGUAGGGAAUCUUCCGCAAUGGGCGAAAGCCUGACGGAGCAACGCCGCGUGAGUGAUGAAGGUCUUCGGAUCGUAAAACUCUGUUAUUAGGGAAGAACAUAUGUGUAAGUAACUGUGCACAUCUUGACGGUACCUAAUCAGAAAGCCACGGCUAACUACGUG